rnacentral:rRNA from 1 species
CAGCAGCCGCGGGAAUACGGAGGAUCCAAGCGCUAUCCGGAAUCAUUGGGUUUAAAGGGUCCGUAGGCGGUCUUGUAAGUCAGUGGUGAAAGCCCAUCGCUCAACGGUGGAACGGCCAUUGAUACUGCAGGACUUGAAUUAUUGGGAAGUAACUAGAAUAUGUAGUGUAGCGGUGAAAUGCUUAGAGAUUACAUGGAAUACCAAUUGCGAAGGCAGGUUACUACCAAUUGAUUGACGCUGAUGGACGAAAGCGUGGGUAGCGAACAGGAUUAGAUACCCCAGUAGUCCCUGUCUCUUAUAC